rnacentral:rRNA from 1 species
CAUGCAAGUCGUACGAGAAAUCCUGGGCAACUGGGAGAGUAAAGUGGCGCACGGGUGAGUAACGCGUGGGUAACCUACCCUUGAAUUGGGGAUAACUCCUCGAAAGGGGAGUUAAUACCGAAUAAUAUUCCAAUUCCUCCGGGAGUUGGAAUCAAAGGUGGCCUCUACAUGUAAGCUAUCGUUUAAGGAUGGGCCCGCGUACCAUUAGCUAGUUGGUAGGGUAAUGGCCUACCAAGGCAACGAUGGUUAGCUGGUCUGAGAGGAUGGCCAGCCACACUGGAACUGAGACACGGUCCAGACUCCUACGGGAGGCAGCAGUGAGGAAUCUUGCGCAAUGGGGGAAACCCUGACGCAGCAACGCCGCGUGGGUGAUGAAGGCCUUCGGGUCGUAAAACCCUUUUCUGGGGGAAGAGAGAGGACG